UGGCGGACGGGUGAGUAAUGUCUGGGAAACUGCCUGAUGGAGGGGGAUAACUACUGGAAACGGUAGCUAAUACCGCAUAACGUCGCAAGACCAAAGAGGGGGACCUUCGGGCCUCUUGCCAUCGGAUGUGCCCAGAUGGGAUUAGCUAGUAGGUGGGGUAACGGCUCACCUAGGUGACGAUCCCUAGCUGGUCUGAGAGGAUGACCAGCCACACCGGAACUGAGACACGGUCCAGACUCCUACGGGAGGCAGCAUG
rnacentral:rRNA from 1 species